AAACGCGCAAGUAUCCCCUUUUAAACAAACACAUCUGUCAAAUUGCCGACUUAUGAACAAAUACUUACUUCAUAUUACCCAUUCACUAUUGGUAUUUACAAUAUAUGCAUACAAUAUUGUUUAGUUAUUGAAAACACAUUGUGAUGAAGUUAAUUUUCAUUUUGGUAGUUUUUUGUGGUGUUGUUUGUAAUUAGUUGUUUAUGCUUGUAAGGUGUUUCCAUAGUGUGAGUGUUGGUCGAUAAGGCUAUUUUUAGCAUACCGGUUUGGUCAGUCAGAGAGUAGCGACUGUUUGUCAAGCGUGCGGCCACGUUUUCAUGCUGUCCAGCAGGGGUCUUUUCUUGGCGAAUUCCAGAAGUUAGUCUGGGUAAUGGGUAGCCAGAGAGACAAACAUUUUACUAUGUGGGCAUAGGUUUUCUCCAGCCGUGCAGAGGGGAUUUAAGAAGCUAUCUGGGCCAUAUCAGGCAGUACUCUCAGCAUUUCAGUAGGUGCUCGGCGUGGGAAUCAGAACACGUGAGACAGUGCUGUAUGUACAUGGGUGUUCCACGUGGUGGACUUGGCAAUUAUUUUGUGAGUCUAGUGUUGCCAUUGGUUUGAAGUCGGCGUUACCCAGUAUCGUUGUUCAGUGAGAGACCUGUGAGUCCGGGACUGGAAGCGGAGGGGUUGUUCGCGCUGUAUGGAGGCCUGGUGGUGCCAAGUGUGACGUGGCGUUAAAUUGAAUUGUGCUGAGUAGCCAAACUUUCAUAUUGUGUUUCAGUAAACUAACAUUUUAUCAAAAAGGAAUUUGAGAAAUUUGUAUAAAACGUAAUUUACUACUGUUUAACUUUUUCUGUAGUUAGCGGAAUUAGCGACUAUUCGAACCAUUAUGUAUACAUUUAUUACCAGUUAUAUUUUCAGCCUGGAAUGACAUACUUGUUGUAUUAACUAUUGAGUUGUCUUGACAGUUAUACGUUAUAUUGAUUGUCAAUAUUGCCAGGUUUAUUAUACCAAUUUAUAUUUCUUUCUCGGUGAGAGAGUAUGAGUGUGUGAAUGUGAAAGUGUGAUUUCUUUGUUUUUCAAACAUCUCUAUAUUUCUUAUCUUAUUGCUAAAUAAAUUUUCUUUUUAUUUAU